rnacentral:rRNA from 1 species
CCUUCUUUUUCCCGCUUUUUCCGGAUUUGCUGGGCGUAAAGAGCGCGUAGGCGGACGUUUAAGUGUGGCCUGAAAGCCCCCGGCUCAACCGGGGAUCCGGGUUGCAAACUGGACGUCUUGAGGGGGAUAGGGGAAGGUGGAAUUCCUGGUGUAGCGGUGAAAUGCGUAGAGAUCAGGCGGAACACCUGUGGCGAAGGCGGCCGGCUGGGCCGUCCCUGACGCUGAGGCGCGAAAGCUAGGGGAGCAAACGGGA